AUGAAGCCAGAACCUGGAAAUAUCCGGUCCAGACAGUGACCCCAGCCUUUGGGUCAGUGGGAGAUACAGGUGCUACCGAAGCAUUAUAUAACAUUUUCACCAUAACAAGAACCAUAGCAGAGUGUGGAGACAUGACAUGGCUGCCUAUCUCCUGGCUUCACCAGAAGCAGUGAGCUACAGCAGGAUUCUCAUCUACACUGGAUCCAGCAUGCACGGAUCCCACUCGUUUGCUGAGGUUCUGAGGUCGAAGGAGGGUGAUCAUGACCAAGGACUUCACUGGCAAAGAGCAAGCACAGAUGUGGAGCCAGUCCAGUCAGGACAGACUUCCUGUGGUAGGCAUCACUUUCUUGGGCUUUGGGCAGCAGGAAAUGUCACAGGAGAUGGAGGAGGUAGAGAAAGGAGGGCUGGGCUUGGGCUUGGGUGGAAGCCCUUUGCCUGCUCCUUGCAGAGUUGGCUGGGGUAAGUGCUUGUGGCAUUUAGGCAGCUUUGCUUUGUAGACUAAUCAAUAGCCUGUGACAUUAAAAUGUUUGAGUACAAUAAGA